UACGUAGGUCGCAAGCGUUGUCCGGAUUUACUGGGCGUAAAGAGCGCGCAGGCGGCUGGCCAAGUCCGAUGUGAAAUCUCCCGGCUUAACCGGGGAAACUGCAUCGGAAACUGGUCGGCUUGAAGGUGGGAGAGGGUAGCGGAAUUCCCGGUGUAGCGGUGAAAUGCGUAGAUAUCUGGAGGAACACCGGUGGCGAAGGCGGCAUCCUGGACCGACACUGACGCUGAGGAGCGAAAGCCAGGGGAGCAAAGCGGG
rnacentral:rRNA from 1 species